rnacentral:rRNA from 1 species
GGACCCGCACAAGCGGUGGAUGAUGUGGUUUAAUUCGAUGCAACGCGAAAAACCUUACCCACCUUUGACAUGUACGGAAGUCGCUAGAGAUAGCUUCGUGCUCGAAAGAGAGCCGUAACACAGGUGCUGCAUGGCUGUCGUCAGCUCGUGUCGUGAGAUGUUGGGUUAAGUCCCGCAACGAGCGCAACCCUUGUCAUUAGUUGCUACAUUCAGUUGGGCACUCUAAUGAGACUGCCGGUGACAAACCGGAGGAAGGUGGGGAUGACGUCAAGUCCUCAUGGCCCUUAUAGGUGGGGCUACACACGUCAUACAAUGGCUGGUACAAAGGGUUGCCAACCCGCGAGGGGGAGCUAAUCCCACAAAGCCAGUCGUAGUCCGGAUCGUAGUCUGCAACUCGACUACGUGAAGUCGGAAUCGCUAGUAAUCGUGGAUCAGAAUGUCACGGUGAAUACGUUCCCGGGUCUU